GCGUAGCUUAAUGUAAAGCAUUACACUGAAGAUGUAAAGAUGGGCCCUAGAAAGCUCCGCAUGCA
rnacentral:tRNA from 1 species